CGAUCCCGGGACUCUAGACGGUCGCGGAAGGCACUAGAGAGUAGUGGUUGUCUAAUCGCUGAGCAAACCCAAGCGCGUGUGGUGCACGCUGGGCUCGCUUCCCUGCCCCACAGGGAUAGCCCGGCCACCGACGUCCGCGCUGACGGGCUCAGACUCGGAAGCCAGGCCCGCAGGAUGAAGCGCCUGACAGCGGCGGCCGAUGGGAAGCUCUUGCUCAGUUAGGUGAAUGAGAGGGUUAAGCCUACCGAGACCGGGCGCUGGCACUGCCUAGAGCGGCACUUCCGGUUCCGGUGCCGGCCCCGGGCCCCACCCCACCCUGGGUGGGGAAAGGCUCGCGCCGACCCUCCCCUUCCGA